rnacentral:rRNA from 1 species
AGUGGCGGACGGGUGAGUAACGCGUAAGAAUCUAACUUCAGGACGGGGACAACAGUGGGAAACGACUGCUAAUACCCGAUGUGCCGCGAGGUGAAACCUAAUUGGCCUGAAGAAGAGCUUGCGUCUGAUUAGCUAGUUGGUGGGGUAAGAGCCUACCAAGGCGACGAUCAGUAGCUGGUCUGAGAGGAUGAGCAGCCACACUGGGACUGAGACACGGCCCAGACUCCUACGGGAGGCAGCAGUGGGGAAUUUUCCGCAAUGGGCAAAAGCCUGACGGAGCAACGCCGCGUGAGGGAGGAAGGUCUUUGGAUUGUAAACCUCUUUUCUCAAGGAAGAAGUUCUGACGGUACUUGAGGAAUCAGCCUCGGCUAACUCCGUGCCAGCAGCCGCGGUAAUACGGGGGAGGCAAGCGUUAUCCGGAAUUAUUGGGCGUAAAGCGUCCGCAGGUGGUCAGCCAAGUCUGCCGUCAAAUCAGGUUGCUUAACGACCUAAAGGCGGUGGAAACUGGCAGACUAGAGAGCAGUAGGGGUAGCAGGAAUUCCCAGUGUAGCGGUGAAAUGCGUAGAGAUUGGGAAGAACAUCGGUGGCGAAAGCGUGCUACUGGGCUGUAUCUGACACUCAGGGACGAAAGCUAGGGGAGCGAAAGGGAUUAGAUACCCCUGUAGUCCUAGCCGUAAACGAUGGAUACUAGGCGUGGCUU